CUUUUUAGGGCCAAACCCGUGGCAUAUGGAGGUUUCCAGGCUAGGGGUCUAAUUGGAGCUGGAGCCACUGGCCUACACCACUGCCACGGCCACACUGCAUUCGAGCCACAUCUACAACAUACACCACAGCUCACAGCAAUGCUGGAUUCUUAACCCACUAAGUGAGGCCAGGGAUCAAACUUGUAUCCUCAUGGAUACUAGUCUGAUUCAUUUCCUCUGAGCCACGACAGGAAUUCCAGACCCAGCAUUUUCAACUGCUGCGGUUCAAGUUCGAACCCUGGCUUGGGAACUUCUGUGUGCCAUGGGCACAGCCAAAACAAACAAACAAAACAAAACCAAAAUUGGAAGCAAUCUGAAAGCCCAUCAAUAGGGGAAAUGGUUGAAUAAAUCAUGAUACUAUGUACAGCUAUACACUGACUGGAGGCAGAAGGGAUGUCUAUAAUAUAUUGUUUUGUAGAUGAAGCCGUUUAUAAAAUAGAAUCAUUAUUAAAAAGGAAGGGGAAAAAACAUGUGAGUGAAUAUAGCUGCAUAUGUUUGAACAAGCACAGGGAAAGUUGGAAAGGAAACACACAAUGUUAAUAUCGAUGACUUAAGGGAAUGAUGGCAUUGAAGGGGACAGGAGAUUUCAUUGCUACAGUUGAGUUUAUACUUCAUAAUUUUAAAAAACUAAGCCAUUUUCAAAGAUUUCUGGCUUUAAGAAUAUUAAACAAUCAUACAUUUUGUUUAUUCCACUUGUCGGAGUUACAGGGCUGAAAAUCCUAAGGGUUCACUGGACUUGCCUACGGCCAACCUUGCAGCCUAGUCACUUCCCAUUUGAUUUGUUUAAAAGCCAAAAUUAUUCCAACACACAGAAGCAGAAGAGUUUUGUCUUUGAUUAAAGACCCUGGGGGACCUGGAAAUCAUCCGAAAGUCUUCUCAAUGGGCUACUGAGAGCCCAAACUGAAGCUGCCGAACAGAGAGAGAGGAAGGGGGCACGGGCCGUGGACCCAGGCCAGGGUGCCUGGCGGCAUGUGCUUCCUGUGUGCAUGUCAGGUUCUGAGGCAGCUGCCCACAGCCAGCUCUCCCACAAACUCCACUUUGCUGGAGCCUGGGAAGAGCUCUCUCUACUCAAGAGUCCCUAAAUCACCGAUCCUGUAUGCCAGAAACAAUCCAUAAGGAAAUCACAAAACCAGCAGCUCCCAAGCCUGUCAAGGAUUUUUCUAAUUAAUUCCUUAAGAUGAUCAAGUGAUAAAAGCUGGGAAUUUAAAAGGACUCAGAUAUUUCUACCUCACUGUACUAAUCUACCUGUAAGCUACUCAACCAACCAUGAAAGAAACAGUAUGAAUGGACAGGCUUUAGCAGCUCAGCUGUCUCACAGAGCACCGAACCCAGCACCUCACACCAUCAAAUGAAUGGGAAGGAAUGAACAAAGGAAGGAAUGAAGCCCAGGUGGACACUGGGGGACCCGACAUUUGGAAGGCCUGGAAUCUGGUCUGCACUGAGACCCUAGUUAGGUACUUAGACCAGGGGAAUUAGUAAAAAUUCUCUAAGCCUCAGUUUCCACAUCCAUGAAAUGGGAAUGAUAACUGUGCCCCUCUCCUAGGGCUACUGGAGGCACAAGUGAGGCUAUACAUGAAAGUCUGUGGUAGAUGGAGGUGAGCUGCCCAGAUCCCCUUGGGGGAAGGGCUCACCGCCCAGCUGUGGGGAGGGCAGUCAGCCCAAGGCCUUCAGACACCUGCUCCCUCCGGGUCUCCCUCUGGGACAGAGAGAUGCCUCCCUGGGAUCAUGCCCUUCCUGCUGGGCCUGAGACAAUUUGUAACUGGUGACUGAAGUCAAGGUAUUCUGACCCAAAACAGGAUACCAUGAUGGCAGGUACUCACUCCAGGGUUUCCAAUGAAGUAACUUUACCAUCUCUUCCUCUGCCAGGCCUGCUUCCUUCCCUUCCUGGGUACCAGUCACUAAUAAGCAUCUUUUGCACCAAAUUCCAUGUUAUCUCCUUCCAGAGAAUCUGACCUUCAACAAAGCCCUUGUGCUGCCUUAAAUGCCUCAUGGCUUCCAUAAUGUGACAAAGAAAAGAAGCCACUCUGGUUUAGGAAGAAAAGGAAAAAAAUCAUGUUCACAAUUUUUCCUUUUUUUUUUUUUUUUUUUUUUUUUUUUUUUUUUUGGCAUACGAGUCAUUCAUUUCAAAGUAUUCAAAGUUCAAACAUCUUGUCCUGGGGACAACCCGCUGGGGGCCAGAAGGGCUCUUUGAUGAUCAUAGCUUAGGGCUGAUGUCUAUCUCCUUGGCUGUGGCUCUCAGUGGGGUGGUACUGUCCCUAGAGGCUUUGGAAUU
ensembl:lncRNA